UACGGAGGGUGCAAGCGUUGUCCGGAAUCACUGGGCGUAAAGGGCGCGUAGGUGGUCUGAUAAGGGUGUGGUGAAAGCCCGGGGCUCAACCCCGGGUCGGCCGUGCCGACUGUUAGACUAGAGUGCUGUAGGGGCAGGCGGAAUUCCGGGUGUAGCGGUGGAAUGCGUAGAGAUCCGGAGGAAGACCGGUGGCGAAGGCGGCCUGCUGGGCAGAUACUGACACUGAGGCGCGACAGCGUGGGGAGCAAACAGG
rnacentral:rRNA from 1 species